GUGCCAGCAGCCGCGGUAAUACGGAGGGUGCGAGCGUUGUCCGGAAUCACUGGGCGUAAAGGGCGCGUAGGCGGCCUGGUAAGUCGGAUGUCAAAUUCCGGGGCUCAACUCCGGGGCGCCAUCCGAGACUGUCAGGCUCGAGCACGGCAGGGGCGAGUGGAAUUCCCGGUGUAGCGGUGGAAUGCGUAGAGAUCGGGAAGAACACCCGUGGCGAAGGCGGCUCGCUGGGCCGUUGCUGACGCUGAGGCGCGAAAGCGUGGGGAGCAAACAGGAUUAGAAACCCCUGUAGUCC
rnacentral:rRNA from 1 species